GUCCUUGUGAGGCGGGUCACGAAUGGCUUCCCUAGGUAGUCUUCACGUAGCGGAAGCAUGUCCCAGAGGUUGCCGAUUUCCUUGUCGCCCAGUCUGAGUCCUUGGGCAUACAGGUAUUCAACAAGUGGGUUCUCAUCAUCAUCAGAAUCGUCAUCAUCUGACUCAGCACCAUCUUCCUCCUCAUGAACUUCAUCCUCACUAUCCGGAAUCAAAUUUAGAUAGAUAACAAAAAUCCUGGGCCUAUCUUUUCUGAAGGAGAAGCUGAUCAAUUCACCCCCACUAAGACGGUUGCGGGUGAUGAAACGAUCCCAAUCAUCUCCUCCUAUCUGGGUUAUCUUUCGCCCCUUCUCGACCUGCAUAGUGUAUGGGCCCCCAAGAGCAUCGAAGGUCACGGUGUCUGCGACGAGCUCAUUGAAUGCCAAUCUCACAUUGCAUGGUACGAUCUAUGUAAGAUAAAAACAAAUAACAAACACAAUACAUUAGUGGAAAUAGCAAAAAAACAAAAAGAAUGUACUGUCAGAAGGUUCAUAUAAAUUGUUACCGCUGCAAAAACAAAAGAAGGCUGGAAGUAGAUGCCGAACAGCGUGGCAGUAGAAAGGCUGGUCCGGCACCGUGAGUUGCAGCGUCCACAUUGUGCUUCCUCCAUUCUACACAGAACGUGUUGAACUCUAAGUUGAAUCGUACAUAGUGCAAUACAAAGAUCAUACAUAUAAUAAAUCAUAGUGAUAACCUAUACUGGCAAUGGCCAAUCAAUCUAUUUUCUAUCAUCUACGUAAUAAAGCAAUGCCAAUGACAAUUCAUCUAAACCUGGGAAUAGUUCGGCAUCCAAACUAAAACCAGUCCAAUCCACAGCACACAUCAAAACCAAACCAAUCCAGAUAUUUUAAUUUAGAAUCUAGACCAAACCGAACUAUACAUGCUCGUCAUCCAACCCAGUCCAAACGGUUUUCAACUUUUGGAUUGAAUCCAAAUGUUCAAACCGUGGACAAAGCCAUACGCGAGGGCACGUCAUGAAUCUAGAUCAUACAUGGCGUCAAAGCUCGAGAGAGGCGACGAGCUCCGGCCAGCAACAGCGGCUCUUGGAUUUGAAGCAGUAGUAGGUGGUAGUGGUGGCUCAAACUAAUUGAUUGAUUUGGUCUCAAACCAUAGAAACCAAAUCAAGAUCCAAUCCAAAAACUAAGUUUCAGUCCAAACCAAUCGGCUCAAAUCCGCCUCCGUAGGGAGACGCGGUUGGGGAAGGGAAGAAGAGGGGAGAUCUCAUGUACUUGCCGGAGUUGGCGGCGGCCACGCACUGGCAGCGAAGAGAGGGGUCGUCGAGAGAUGGCGGUGAUGGCGGCGGCGCUGGUCGAGAAGGGGAGAAAGAAAAAUGUGGAGUGGUCGAGACGGGGAGAAAGAAAAAUGUGGUACAUGUGGUGGCUCGGUUGUGUGGAUGACAAGGGGACCCACUUGUGAGACCGAUAGCAAUUGAUGGCAAACCGCAGGAGGUGCAGGACCGCGUGCACGACCGCCACGUCCCCACGUGGAAUGGGGACGGCCGGGUGGGUGUGUCAAGUCAAAUCGGCACCCGCGGCUUCUCGGUAACUCCAAGAGGCAGGAGCAGUGCAUUUCUUCCCCAAAUCGGGUAGAAAACCCUCGUCCUCUCCCCACCCUCUCUUCCUUCGUCACCACCUCACCACCCUCUCCUCCUUCCUCACCACCCUCCUCCCUUCCUACGCCUCCCUCCUCCUGUCUUCGACCGACGAUGAAGCGCGGGCGUGAAGAUCCGGCGGACGAGCCGGAGGCAACCAUCGGAGCAGAGCAGUCUGCUGCCGUGGAUGCAGCCGUGGGUGGAGCGGCUAGGUCCGCCGUAGCGGCGGAAGCUGGCGGUGCAGCGACCGUUGUGCCUGCUCCCGCUGCCAUCGCAGCUGUCGAGGCACCCGUCGGCGAGCACAAGGUCGGGGAAGAUCUGGAGGAGGAGGAGAUGAGAAGGCGUAAGCGGAAGGUGCAUGACGAAAUCGAAGAGCUCUUCGAGGAGAACGCCGUAAAGGAGUUCGACCUAGAUAGCAGUAAGGGCAGCGACUUUGACGAGGAUGCCAUCGACGAGCUAUCUGAGGUAGUACUCUGUUUUUUGCUCUAUUUUUUUCAUGACAUUGGGGUUUUUCUUGUUAACUACAUGAGCAUCAAUUUCAAUUGGGCGUGCUAGUUGUACGUAUGUAGGAUUGUAGGGAUCUAGCAUAGAUCUUCAUGUUGGAUGUGGUUUUUUAAAUCUGAUUCACAUUCUGAUUCCAGCAGAUACUCUGGGUUUUUUUCAUGGCAUUGGGGUUUGUUUUGUUAACUAUAUGAGCAUAAGUUUCACAAGGGAUACAUUAAUGAAAGAAGUGGGGUAAUGAACCCAACUACAAGAAAAUGUUCAUGGCAGGGAUACAUUAAUGGAAAAAGUGGGUUAAACAAUGGAUAUAUGGCAGGAUUCUCCAUUGGCUUCCCCAGGACAGUGACAAAAUGCUGCAGUUCCUGAUUCAUUUUAGCUUAUGUAGAUGAAUUAAUUUGCACACAUGUUCAUAGAUGAUUAGUUUGCACACAUGUUCAUAGAUGAUCCAUUUGCAAAUUCUAUACAGCUUUCCAUUUUGCAAAGGAAGUGAUCGCUCCCUUAAUAAUUAUGGGCUGACAGUACAUAUCCACUGGAUACCAAAAAAUCAAAACAUUUCAUCUAGCCAAUUUUCCACAGUAUGUUAUCUAGAUGAUCACAGCCACAUCUCUCAUCAAUAUGAGCAGUGAGACACCCCAUAGCUCCUUUACCAAUUUCCUUCUAAAACUUAUCAGGGUCUAACAAUGUUGGAGAAGCAGUAUUGCCGCUGUCAGAAAGAAUAAUGGUUUCUUCAUUCCAGUAGAUAGAACAAACCCCCCUUGUGUGAAACAUGGAGGAGUACAAUGAAGCCAUUUUUCUGAUUCCAAUAAGAAUUACACCUGUAACAAGUAUCAAAUAUUAUUAAACCAAGCCACUUCAUGAAGUCUUUCAUGUGUUAAUUGUGUACUACUUGUGCACUAAUCUAUAAAUGCAACUAUUCCACCGUCCAUAUUUAUGCAUGUCAAUUUAUUUGGCUCAAUUAUGUAUGUGCACAUACGCCUUAUUUCUAGCAAAUAGGUAGUUGCCAUGUUACACAUGUGUACUUUCAAAACAUUGUAAUUAAAGUCAAUGUACCAUAAUAGAUUAGCUGAGUUGUUAUAUGUGUACUAAUUCACUAAUUGACAGGAGGAUGACGACGACGUGGACUACGGCAUGGACAGCAGGCACAGCAAGAGCCGGUACACCCUGAGGCAUCUGAUUGCUGGGAAGAUCAAGUGCCGUUUCUUUGGCAAGAUUGGGUUCCCUUUCUGUUGCAAGGUGAUCGGUGGCGGCAUAGAUGGCAUGAUCCAGCAUGCCUUCAGCACUGGCAAUGGACAUGGCAAGAAUCAUAGUGCCAGUACUCUGGCUAAACAUGCUGCCUACACACGCUUCCUCGAGAUUGUCAAAGUCAAUGAGCCCUACAACAUGCAUUGAAGAAGGGAGAGAAGUGAUGUGCUGCUAGAGUGCUGCUGCUGCCCCAGGACCGCCGUGUCCUGUUAUGUUAUGUAUGUUUGUUUGUUGUUGGAGUCUAAAACUGAUGUCCUAUGGUGUGUCUGAACCUAUGCUGAGCGGUGGUUGAUCUGCCGUUUAUGUUAAGAGUUUGCUGCUACUCUGGUUUAGUGUUCCUAGUUGUUAAUACUAUUUUGGUGAUUCCUGUUAAGCCUUGUACAAUGCUAGAUGCUUAGGGUGGUGCUUAGAAAAAUAAACAGGGUUUUUCUGAAGCACCGGUGCCUAUUUCUACAGGAGAGACGCCUAGUUAUGCGUCUACCCUGUACAAAUAAGCACCUGUGCUUAAGAAAAGCCUGGUUUAUUUCUAUAAGCAACUCCCCUAAGAACCUUGCAUUGUACAAGGCCUUAGCAACUCAAGUAUCGUACGGUGGUCUAUGUUAUGGUUGAUGUGUUAUUCUGCCGUACGGUGAUGCAUGCUAGGAACUGUCAUAAUAUGACUAUGGUAGUUAUAGCUUGGCAUGACUAUGUUUAGUGUAUAACUCAGCAUGUUCCUACCAUAUCUAUGAGCAAUUACAACUGAACUAUGCAUUAAUUUUUGACAAAAUGAAAGCAUGCAAAUGAUUGCCGAUUCCGCCUAUUGCCAAAUCAAGCUUUGGACUAAUGAUGCAUUAGAUAUUGCAAUAAGUAGAGGAUGCUCAUGAUUGCCAAAAGUACCUAUUUCCACUUUCUGAUAAAAACUAAACGUGUAUCAAAUGAUGCUAAAAGUAGAGCAUGAGCAUGAGCAUGUAUCAAUGCAUUAGAUAUUGCAAUAAGUAGAGGAUGCUCAUGAUUGCCAAAAGUACCUAUUUCCACUUUCUGAUAAGAACUAAACGUGUAUCAAAUGAUGCUAGAAGUAGAGCAUGAGCAUGAGCAUAUAUCAAUUGAUGCUACCUAUUUGUGUUUGAAUGGGCUCAAUAAAGCUGGUGCUGGUUUAUGCUCUCUGCGUGACCGUGAUGGUAACGAAGACACUUGGUUGGCUAUGGUCUUGCUAUCAAAUUUAAGUUUCAGUUCUUUAUGACUCUUUGUUUUUGCUGCUUGCUCGGGAUCGACUAGCUUUCUCGGGCGUCCACGUGCUCUCUUCCUUUUGGGGGAGUUGGGUGCACCAUUUUUUGGGGAGUUGGCUGCACCGGUAUCCUUCUGGGAGUUGGAUGCGUCAGGUUCGUUGGAACCAUUGGGAUUGUUGACUAAUUGUACGUCCUUUUCUGAAGCAUCAGGUAGAACUGCUUGCUGGGCAUCGUACACCUCCUUCUGUAUAAGAGAGAGUGUUGCGUUAGUUCUAAUCAUGAGACUUAUGAAAUAAAUGAUAUAUUCUUCAUGUAGCGCUAACCGUUAUGGGGAACUUAUAUGAUUCGAGACGAAGCGCAUUGCAAUUUGAAUGCAGUAAGUCUGUACAUAUUUUCCACCUGAAAAUAUCUAUCCUUGCCUAUAUUGGAUAACCGACAUUGACGUCAGCAUAGCUUUCAAGCUAAACAAAGUACAAAUUUAAAUUAGGCAUUCAAUUACCUGGUUCAAAAUAUCAGUCAUUUCAUCCCCGUUCCAUGACAACAUGUACUGCAGUGUCCAAACCGCACAGGAAGUCAUGCGAUGUUUAGUUAAAGAUCAGUAAUCUUAUUUGUGUACGCAAAUAAUAAUUUAUGAGGCCAUGCGUACCCAUCGGUCUGUUGUGGUAUGUUCUCAUAGCGUUUUUUGGUCCAUUUGGCAAAAUUGAUGUUAUUAGCUGGUGAUAUCAACCCUUUCUUGACAGCUUCGUCAAUGCAGAACUGAAUCGAGUCCACCUAGGGUACGACGAGUUAUACAUAGGGUUACGGUACUUUGGGAGCUCAUGUUCCAUGCGGAUCAAAAGAGGCAGCAAGAGAACACUUACAAGAGAAUCUUCCUUGGUCUUGUCGCAAUGAUAAUUCAUGGAGUUUAGAGUCUGAAUUUUUUUUGUCAAAAUUAAACAUCAUUAGCAUCCAAUGGUUUUGGUGUACAUUGAGUGGGACAUGCACCUGCAGUAAAAUUUGGGUUGGGUUGAGAACCGAAAUUUGUCGUGUACAGUAUGUACGUAAACUAUGAAAGUGUGGAAAACGUGUACCUUUCGGCGCCCUACAAAUUUUCCUACUACACGAGCUAACCAUGAGGCUGCACGUCCAACAGGAACCACCCCCUUCAUUUGUAACAGCUUUUCGGUUUCUUGAGGGGAUAUGAUUGAGCUAGUAUCAUUCUCAAUUUGGCUAAUGAGAGCAUAUGACAUAAUAACGUGCCAAAUUUUCAAUCAUACAAUAAUAAGACAGUUGUUGCAGUAAUGAUGUAGAAUAGAGUAUAAUGGGCUUACAUCACCAUAAAUGUAUUUCUCGUCCAAAUUUCGCUUCAGAUUUUCUGCUGUGAGGGAAAUGUCUCCGAUUCUAGCUAUUUCAACAGGGUCAUAUGUUCCGCGGAUGUAAACGGCUGUCUCUAUGUCCUCAUCCGUGAACUUGUAAUCAUUACCAAAGACAGGCUUCAUCGGAGUUAAUUGUGGUUCCUCAUUGUUUUCCGUCACAUGUGUUGCACUUGGUGUACUCGAAGUCCCUGUCGUGAUUUGGCUAGCCCUAGGAGUUCCUGUCAGGGAUGAAUUGCACACAUUGACUUGAUCCUACAAUGAACAAAGGUAGUUCAUCAUUAGUUUGUUACUUUUAGAUAUUAACGUGUUGGGCCAAUUUUGAUCACCUGCACACCUCCUUUCUGUGACACUGAUUGUCGGUUCCUUGUAAAUUCAUAUUUUAAGUCCUGUAACAAUGCAAACAAUAAUGAACAUGAAGGAACAUAUUCAUAAAAAAUACAAAAUGCACAGUAUGACAUAUAUGGAGUUCCCUCCUUAAGUCUUUAAUUUCGUCCUCGGCCUUCGACAACCUAGGAUUAGUGCCAGUUUUAGUCUUCAUGUCGAUCAAGUCUUCACCUAGAGUCUGGUAUUUGACAUCAAAUCUGUGCUCAAUUUCCAUUAACUUCCUGCAUAUAUACCUUCUUUUCAUGAUCAGCAAUGCGUGCAUUCAUGACUUCAACUACCAUUUCAAUCUGUGUAAACAAAAUAAAACCCUGUUGGUAACAAUAGCUAAAUGAAUGAGGUUCCAUGACACCUAUUUGUGAUAUUGCAAAAACAAAUAGUCUUUGGAGUACAUACUUGCUGGCUACUAAAUUGAUGUCCUUGUGAUGGUGCUCGAUACGAAUCAUGUUGAUGCACAUGUUCAUCUUUUUUUCUUGGAAAAUUAUUAGAAUUCUCGGACGGUCGUUGAGGAGCACAAAUUUCCAUGACAACCUAUUUUUUUAAAAUAUAAUGAACCAUUAGUACCAAAUAAAAAAUCGGAUAUAGAAAGUUCAAUUGUAGAUAGGUACCAGCCCGUUAUGAAGACCUCCUUUCUCGUAAGCAUCGCUUCUUAAAGUAGCCAUCAUUUCGUCCCAUCGUGCGAUCAAUGGAGGGGGUCUAGAAGCAUACAUUAAUCGGCCACUACGCGCGUGCUCCCAGUACCAAUACUACACAAUAAAUUAGUUCAUCACCAUACAGACAUGCAACAGAACAAUAAUUAAAGGACAUUAAGUAGUGAUCUAUCACUAACCUGGAGCAGAAUUAGAUUUCCUUGUAGAUUUACGUGAUCUCGAUUUCUAAACUUGUGAACGGACUUGAAGAAGUGAUUAAGUGUGAAACAUCCCCAGUUAAAUUUCCGAAGGUUUUCAAGAUCUGUAACGAGGUUGAGAAAUUUUGAGUCCACAUAAUGUUGUGUUGUUGGUGCUAGAACAGUAACAAUUGCGUAUAGAAUGAACCGCCUCAGGAAAUCGCCGUCUGGGGCUUUGGAAGCUCGGAUCGCCGUUUCAAGGUCAGAAAUCAAAAUUUGCCCAUUGUUUGCAUAGGCGGUAAACAAUUCUGUGUCGGUUUGCAUUUCCAGAUGUGGCUCUAUAUCCUCCCCUUCUAUCGGAAUGCCAAAUAUACCUUGCACGUCCUCUUUUGUUAUAGGAAUUGGCGUUUUACCGAUGGUAAUGGAUUGCGUGUCCAUAUCUAUGCUCUUGGCUAGUCUAACCAACAUUAUGCGCCGUAGAGUCACUUCAUGCAUCUGGGUCAGACCGCCAAGACUGGUUUCUGAUAUGAUGUACUUUUUGUGGUCUUGUGACAACAGUUUCAUGGUUUUUCCAAACCUUGUCUGUGAGCAUACUAACUUCAUAUGACCAUGCUUUUCGGCGAGUUCCUGUUACAUGCCAUUAAAUAUUACUGAGUACACAUGAAUUAUGUGUACGAAACAAUUGUACACAAACAGUAAAUUACUUACCGCAUCGGUAAUUUCGGAGAUGGGCUUUUCUCCAUUAUUAAGGUUCGUGUCUGAAACUGACAUUGCUGCCUCGUAUGCAAUGAUAAAAUCAGGCUCAAUUAAUCUAAACAAAAUUGGAAAAUGUAUAACAAAAUUAGUAGAGAAUUAAUUUUAACAAAAUUAACUGGGUCAUUUAACAUAUGAUCCACUUAUGGGUUUAAGCACAGAACCUAUUUGGGUGCAAAACCUAUGAGGGUUCAACAACUAAAGCAUCGGCGGACAACGAUUAUAAAGAGUUACGAUCAGCUAAUACCUUAUCUCGGAGAUGGUGCCACCGAGUAGAUGGCGGCGGUUAGUGCGUCGGAAACUAUAAGUGCCGGUAUAGCGCGGUCGACGGUGCAAAGGAAAAACGGCACGUUCACGCGAGGAGGAGGCGGCGAGAAGAACACUGACGUCCGAGCCCUCAGAUCACGUUGGCGGUGGGCGGCGAGUGGUGGCCGCCGACUCCUGUAUUCUGUGGGCGACCGGCGUCUCCGAUCUGAUCUUGCAGCGGUCAUGUGAGGUGCGGACGGCCCGGGUGGUUAGAAUGUGGAGCUGUAAUCGCGGGAUUUAGGGAGGGGUGGGCCGCAUGAGUUAUGUGAGAUUUGGAUAAAUGAUAUAAAGAAAUAAGAAAAUCNNNNNNNNNNNNNNNNNNNNNNNNNNNNNNNNNNNNNNNNNNNNNNNNNNNNNNNNNNNNNNNNNNNNNNNNNNNNNNNNNNNNNNNNNNNNNNNNNNNNAGAUGAGCUGGACGGCAAUGGCCACUCUCAAGAAUUUGACGAAGAAGGAGAGGGCAAAGCUUUUCCCCCAGCCCGUGCAACCGAUUCAGAAGAUCGAGAUCCUCCUCUGGGCGAUGGAGCAGGCCAAUUCGUCCAGCGAGUGGACCAGGCGGAGGUGGUGGGCGUUCAGAUCCAGGGUAGAGCAUCCACUGGAUCUGGAACCCACCGUGCACGAGGUGCCGUUGCAGAUUGUGCAGCCUCCAAUCGAGUCACCGGAGACUUCGAAGCGCAAGAUGAGGAGGACAAUGGUCGCGACCUCGCUUCCCCGCCGUUCUCCACGCUUCCCUCGCCGCUCUCCUCAUCUGAACGGCGGCGGUAGCUAUGUUUAGAGUAAGCUUCCCCACUCCUCAUCUUUCUAAUGCUCGUUCUUACAUCAUGGUGAUAACGCUAGAUGGCAUUUUAAUCUCAAUAAAUUGCAUGAACAUUUGAGUACAUGGAUUUGGAGGAUGGGUUAUGAUGUAUGUGAACCCUAGGCAUCAUAUGAACCCUAGGAAAAAUUAGUAAUGUUGUAGUGGUAGACACUGAAAUAUUUCGGUACACACCGGUAGGCACUGAAAUAUUUCGGAACUGCCCUAGGCAAAAUUUGUAAUGUUGUAGUGGUGGACACUGAAAUAUUUCGGUACACACCGGUAGGCAUUGAAAUAUUUCGGUACUGCCCUAGGCAAAAUUUGUAAUGUUGUAGUGGUAGACACUGAAAUAUUUCGGUACACACCGGUAGGCACUGAAAUAUUUCGUUACUACAAUUUCAGUACACACCGAUGCACACUGAAUUAUUUCACUACUGCAGUUUCAGUACACACCGGUACAUACUGAAAUAUUUCAGUACUGUAAAUUCUAUACAAAGUUGGCAUUUUGUCAUUUAUGUGUGAAUUAAUCCAUGCAUCAUAUGGCCUAACUUUGUACACGAGUUUGGGUCAAUUUCAUGUCUAUUUAUUGUUAAAAUUAUUGUCAUGCCAUGAAACACAAGACAAGUCACUGACCCAAGCUUGCAAAGAUGCCAUAUCAAUGUUGCUGAUACGAAAUAUGCAUGUUUUCACCUAGUCUUGUGUCUGAAUUAAAACUGAGCAUUUUUUCUUGAUGGUAUCCAUGGAUCUAGAACUCCUAUGAAUUUUCUCAUGUUGGGUGUUUUGUUCUCCAUCAUUUGUACUAGCAUUCCGUGCGAUUAGAUGCCAUGACAAGACCCCUGUCAUAUUUAUUUUCUUGCCUCCAACAUCACAUGUGUGUUUUGCAGGAAAAAACAUGGAGUUCACCAGGCUGGCUGAAGUUGUGAGGCUGGGAGGCUGAUGGUGCUGCUACUGGCUGAUCCUUCUUCUUUCAGUUUUUGUUCGUCAUUUCUCAAGCCAUUGGACCAGGGCUACUUCCCUAUGUGCUGUUAAUGUAUUAAGUAGUUCCUUCGAAUUUGUAGUAUUAGUUAGUUUGAAUGUGGAAGUACCUUAAUUUUUAGGAAUGAAAUGUUGCUAUGUAUGACCAAGGGUUUCAUACCUUAAUCUUUGGAUAAUUAAUUAUGUGAACUGUUGGAUGUGGCGCAUAACGAAACGCCUCUACCAUUGAUACUAGUUCAACAUGUCGGUCCAAUUAGAGACCAGCCACUACCAUAUAGAAUAGUUAGCAUUUCAUACUACAACCUGGCACGUACAAAACAUCACACAGUGGAAGCACAUCCCUAAGCACCUUGCAUUGUACAAGGUCUUAGAGACAAGCCUCUACCAUAUAUAACAGUUACCAUGUCACACUACAGCCUAUAAAACAUCACAUAGUGGAAUAAUCAUAGCUAGUAGAGCAUUAGGUACCAGUUAAUAAUAGUUGCAAUCCAUCACAAGCAACAAUACCUAGAUAUGAGUAGAUAUAGGUACGGUAAUACACGACAAGUACUUGCAAACAAGAGCUAACAUAACAAGUUCAUUUCAGAUUGAUACAUGGCCCACCGCAGUUCUAAAUGAGGUGGAUGGUGAUCAUCAUCCUCAAGUCAUGGCGACGGGUGUUCGCAACAGUGAGUAGGAUGGCCUGUCCUACCCGAAGAUUCUUGGCACGAAGGAACUUCUUCCACCCUGCCCUGCUCAAGACAGUGCGACCGUCCGUGUCCACUGCAUAGGCACAGCUGGUGAUGGAGCCCGUUCUGGUAAGGCGUAGUCCAGCAGCCAUGCCUUCUUCGUCCGGGUCGAUGCCACAGCUAUCAAGUAACCUCUUAGGUAAUUUUUGAAAACAGUUGACAUGAUCAUAUACAUUAGUGGAAUAGCAAAACAGUUGACAUGAUAUAUGAUCAUGUCACGUGCAAUUAUCAACAAAGCAUACACUUCAAGACACAUAUAUCAUUGGAUUCAACACUGAGCAUAUAUAUCAUCACAUCAGUACACUAUACACCAAGCAUCAAAUUACUACAGUAAUUAUGCAUAUCAUUAGAUUACUGCGUACACUAAGCAUAUCAUCGCAUAUUACUACACUACAUGCAUGUCAUAAAAUUCUUCACUAAAUGAAUUCUAAACUAGGCCUCUCAUCAAAGUACUACAACAUGCAUAUCAUAUGAACUACUACACUAACUAAGCAUGUAUAUCAUGUAAUUACCACACUAAGUAACAUACCAUGAUAUGCCGUUUAACAUUCGUCCUUGUGAGGCGGGUCAUGAAUGGCUUCCCUAGGUAGUCUUCACGUAGCGGAAGCAUGUCCCAGAGGUUGCCGAUUUCCUCGUCGCCCAGUCUGAGUCCUUGGGCAUACAGGUAUUCAACAAGUGGGUUCUCAUCAUCAUCAGAAUCGUCAUCAUCUGAAUCAGCACCAUCUUCCUCCUCAUGAACUUCAUCCUCACUAUCCAGAAUCAAAUUUAGAUAGAUAACAGAAAUCCUGGGCCUAUCUUUUCUGAAGGAGAAGCUGAUCAAUUCACCCCCACUAAGACGCAUGCGGGCGAUGAAACGAUCCCAAUCAUCUCCUCCUAUCUGGGUUAUCUUUCGCCCCUUCUCGACCUGCAUAGUGUAUGGGCCCCCAAGAGUAUCGAAGGUCACGGUGUCUGCGAUGAGCUCAUUGAAUGCCAAUCUCACAUUGCAUGGUACGAUCUAUGUAAGAUAAAAACAAAUAACAGACACAAUACAUUAGUGGAAAUAGCAAAAAAACAAAAA
rnacentral:lncRNA from 1 species